rnacentral:rRNA from 1 species
CAAGAAUGAGUAGCGAAAAGCAAAGUGAGAAUCUUUGCCGCCGAAAACCUAAGGUUUCGAAAGCUAAGUUCGUUCGCUUAUGUUCAGGCGGGCCUAAGCUGAGGCAGAAAUGCGUAGGCGAUGGACAGACGGUAGGUAUUCCGUCCCCGUUGUUAGAU